GACGAACGCUGGCGGCGUGCUUAACACAUGCAAGUCGAACGGUGACCCAGGGCUUGCCCUGGUGAUCAGUGGCGAACGGGUGAGUAACACGUGGGCAACCUGCCCCUGACUUCGGGAUAACUCCUCGAAAGAGGAGCUAAUACCGGAUACGACCACUUCGGACAUCCGAUGGUGGUGGAAAGUUUUCGGUCAGGGAUGGGCCCGCGGCCUAUCAGCUAGUUGGUGGGGUAAUGGCCUACCAAGGCGACGACGGGUAGCCGGCCUGAGAGGGCGACCGGCCACACUGGGACUGAGACACGGCCCAGACUCCUACGGGAGGCAGCAGUGGGGAAUAUUGCGCAAUGGGCGAAAGCCUGACGCAGCGACGCCGCGUGAGGGAUGAAGGCCUUGGUGUAACCUCUUCAGCAGGACGAAGCGAAAGUGACGGUACCUGCAGAAGAAGC
rnacentral:rRNA from 1 species